rnacentral:rRNA from 1 species
CAGUAGCCGCGGGAAUACGGAGGGUGCAAGCGUUAUCCGGAUUCACUGGGUUUAAAGGGUGCGUAGGCGGAUCUGUAAGUCAGUGGUGAAAUCUCCAGGCUUAACCUGGAAACUGCCGUUGAUACUAUAGGUCUUGAAUUUUGUGGAGGUUAGCGGAAUAUGUCAUGUAGCGGUGAAAUGCAUAGAUAUGACAUAGAACACCAAUUGCGAAGGCAGCUGGCUACGCAACCAUUGACGCUGAGGCACGAAAGCGUGGGGAUCAAACAGGAUUAGAUACCCGCGUAGUCCCUGUCUCUUAUAC